GCUGACAUCAUCAUUGGUUUUGUAGGAUACAGUGCUGCCUUUAUUCCAGCAGCCAUAUGUGUGUGUGGGCGUGUGUGUGUGUGUGUGUGUGUGUGGGGGUGUGUGUGUUUGUGUGCGUGUGAGAGAGAGGAAGUAAAAGAGCAACAUCUUCCAUGCUGCUGAUGAGGCUGGAGGCUGAGGAGCAGAAUGCAGGUGACAGCAGAAGAGAUGACGCUCUCAACAACAGACUGAUAGAAGAUCUGCAGCAUCUUGGUGCAAACCUUGAAGGAUCUUAGCUUCCUCAGGAAGUCCAGUCUGCUCUGUCCCUUCAUAUAGACGCUUCUCGCUCCAGUCCAGUCCAGUCUGUUGUCCAGAUGAACACAGAGACAACUGCAGAAUCAUCUGAGUAUUUGAAUAGAUGACAGACAUGGGACUUGAGCUGGAAAUCUGAAGUGUACAGAGUGAAAAUGAAUGGUGAGAGUACAGCUCCCUGUGGUGCUCCUGUGCUGCCGACCACCUGGUUAGACACACAGUUCUUCAGUUUCACAAACUUUGCUCUGUUUGUGAGGUAGUCGUGGAUCCAGGUGGUUGCCUUGACGUGAUACAAGUGGAGAAGGUUUGUCAGCCAUAUCAAAAUUUGUGUAUAUCACAAAACUGCAAUGGAAAUACUUUUUUUUUUUGCGUCAUGCCUGUUUGCAUACAGCAGCAAAACUAAAGAGGAAGAAAAAAGUUAUUUUGCACCAGAAUGAAAAUGGUGUUUUUGUGUCCUUCUUAAGCCAUGAUGCAGGGCUAAACUCUUCUGCUGAGCUCAACAGAUACGGGUUCUUCAAAGCACAUCUGUUGUUAACAGCUGUUGUGUUUUUAGCAGAAACCAAAUACUGAAAAAAAUAAAGAGGAAGCAUAAUUUUCCAUAAUUUUCUAUUUAAAUAAACCUUGGAUUAAAAAAAAAAAUGUUGACAAGGUUUUUUCUGGUACAGCGAUUUUUAGGUAUUCUUUUGUCACAAAGUAUUGUGGUUGGAUGAUACGUAACAAGCACGCCCUCCCCCCUCCACCAGUAGGUUACAUGAGAGAAAACACCUCAUUAGAGAAGCUCUGGCUGAAGGCUCAUUAUACAGAGAGAACUGAGGAAGGAACAGAAAAUAUUACCACAUAAACCGGAACUUGUGAAGCUUCUGACCACGACUGUAGCUUGUGUUUCAGUGAGUAACCACAAACAUUACGGCUGAGAAAAAGUCUGAAAAAACUUACAGUGAGAAGGAAGUACUGGCCAAAGAGCA